rnacentral:rRNA from 1 species
UACGUAGGGUGCAAGCGUUGUCCGGAAUUAUUGGGCGUAAAGAGCUUGUAGGCGGUUUGUCGCGUCUGCUGUGAAAUUUCGGGGCUCAACCCCGAACUUGCAGUGGGUACGGGCAGACUAGAGUGUGGUAGGGGAGACUGGAAUUCCUGGUGUAGCGGUGAAAUGCGUAGAUAUCAGGAGGAACACCGGUGGCGAAGGCGGAUUUCUGGACCAGUUCUGACACUGAUGAGCGAAAGCCAGGGGAGCAAACAGG